UACGGAGGGUGCAAGCGUUAUCCGGAAUCACUGGGUUUAAAGGGUGCGUAGGCGGCUUAGUAAGUCAGUGGUGAAAGGCUGUGGCUUAACCAUGGAAUUGCCAUUGAUACUGCAGAGCUUGAAUGAGGUUGAGGUUGGCGGAAUGUGUCAUGUAGCGGUGAAAUGCUUAGAUAUGUCAUGGAACACCGAUUGCGAAGGCAGCUGACUGGACCUAUAUUGACGCUGAGGCACGAAAGCGUGGGGAGCGAACAGG
rnacentral:rRNA from 1 species